rnacentral:rRNA from 1 species
UACGUAGGGUGCGAGCGUUGUCCGGAAUUACUGGGCGUAAAGAGCUCGUAGGUGGUUUGUCACGUCGUCUGUGAAAUUCCGGGGCUUAACCUCGGGCGUGCAGGCGAUACGGGCAAUACUUGAGUGCUGUAGGGGAGACUGGAAUUCCUGGUGUAGCGGUGAAAUGCGCAGAUAUCAGGAGGACACCAAAGGCGAAGGCAGGUCUCUGGGCAGUUACUGACGCUGAGGAGCGAAAGCAUGGGUAGCGAACAGGAUUAGAUACCCCCGGUA